rnacentral:rRNA from 1 species
AUUGAACGCUGGCGGCAUGCCUUACACAUGCAAGUCGAACGGCAGCACGGGAGCAAUCCUGGUGGCGAGUGGCGAACGGGUGAGUAAUGUAUCGGAACGUGCCCAGUCGUGGGGGAUAACGCAGCGAAAGCUGUGCUAAUACCGCAUACGAUCUAUGGAUGAAAGCGGGGGAUCGCAAGACCUCGCGCGAUUGGAGUGGCCGAUAUCAGAUUAGCUAGUUGGUGGGGUAAAGGCUCACCAAGGCGACGAUCUGUAGCUGGUCUGAGAGGACGACCAGCCACACUGGAGCGGAGACCCGGUCAAGACUCCUACGGGAGGCAGCAGUGGGGAAUUUUGGACAAUGGGCGCAAGCCUGAUCCAGCAAUGCCGCGUGCAGGAUGAAGGCCUUCGGGUUGUAAACUGCUUUUGUACGGAGCGAAAAGGCUCUCUCUAAUACAGGGGGCUCAUGACGGUACCGUAAGAAUAAGCACCGGCUAACUACGUGCCAGCAGCCGCCGUAA